CUGGAUCUUUAAAAACAGAAACUACAGGCCUGAUGUGAAAACUGCUCUGUGGCAGAGCUGACUCUUCCAGCCACACAUACUUCAGACUACGAGCUCCUUCUUUUGGCCUGAGACUUUGGAGAAAGUGUGAAAUGUGUCCCACCCUUACACUUUUCCUUUUGAGCUCGGCAAAGAGUCGCGCACGAGGCAAAGCCCGGCUCUGAGAGAGGGAUCCUGGAGGGAUUACAGCGGAGCUGCGGGCCUCCCUCCAGGACACGGACAGACCUCCUUCCCAUGGUGCAUCACGCAGACAGAGAGGGUUCUCUUCCCCAGGCUCAGGUGAUCCGCCAUAACCAGGCCUGACUGCACAAAACUCAGAUCCUGACUCUGUUUGGAUUUUUCUUCAAGUCGGCUGCUGGAUUUGAUUCCGAGCAGACUGAAGGUAUUCAGGAGGGAGAGGACAACGUCGCCCCGCCGGACAAUUUACUGCCCUUCUCUGGGAAUUCCACAUGAUCCAGGUAUGGGAGAGUGGGGAAGAAAGCCGGAGCAGUGAACUCACUCUGGCAGUUUUAU